GUUAGCUCAGUCGGUAGAGCGCGUGACUGUUAAUCACGAUGUCGCUGGUUCGAGUCCAGC
rnacentral:tRNA from 1 species